rnacentral:rRNA from 1 species
AUUGAACGCUGGCGGCAUGCUUUACACAUGCAAGUCGAACGGUAACAGGCCGCAAGGUGCUGACGAGUGGCGAACGGGUGCGUAAUGCAUCGGAACGUGCCCAGUCGUGGGGGAUAACUACUCGAAAGAGUAGCUAAUACCGCAUACGAUCUAUGGAUGAAAGCGGGGGACCGUAAGGCCUCGCGCGAUUGGAGCGGCCGAUGUCAGAGUAGGUAGUUGGUGGGGUAAAGGCUCACCAAGCCAACGAUCUGUAGCUGGUCUGAGAGGACGACCAGCCACACUGGAACUGAGACACGGCCCAGACUCCUACGGGAGGCAGCAGUGGGGAAUUUUGGACAAUGGGCGCAAGCCUGAUCCAGCAAUGCCACGUGCAGGAAGAAGGCCUUCGGGUUGUAAACUGCUUUUGUACGGAACGAAACGGCUCUGGUUAAUACCCGGGGCUAAUGACGGUACCGUAAGAAUAAGCACCGGCUAACUACGUG